rnacentral:rRNA from 1 species
CAGUAGCCACGGUAAUACGUAGGGGGCGAGCGUUGUCCGAAGUUACUGGGCGUAAAGCGCGCGUAGGCGGCUUCUUAAGUCUGAGGUGAAAGGUUCAACGCUUAACGUGAACAGUGCCUUGGAUACUGGGGAGCUUGAGUAUGGGAGAGGGCAGUGGAAUGGCUGGUGUAGCGGUGAAAUGCGUAGAUAUCAGUCGGAACGCCCAUGGCGAAGGCAGCUGCCUGGCCUAAUACUGACGCUGAGGUGCGAAAGCGUGGGGAGCGAACGGGAUUAGAUACCCCAGUAGUCCCUGUCUCUUAUU